CUGGGACCGCAGAAUCGUUUAACUUAAGCUACUGCCCGGCCUUUCCAUUCCGGCGUUUUGGACGUGAUAGUUUGUCCAAGAACAUGGGCUAAGGUCUCCAUUUUUUCUUAUAUAGACAUUCUUUGCUAUAGUUGUCAUGUCAUCACGCAGCUUCACAUCAUUUCGAUUUUGAUUUUUCUGGUGCGUAUGAUGAUUGAUGAUGAAGAGCAUGCCAGCAUUGUUAUCCUUCUAGAACAGAUUGCAUUCACGAUUCAUAUCAGUAAGUAAUUUUACCUCUUCAUGAAUUCUCAUUAAAUUUGAGGUAGGGAUAGCUUAUUUUCGCGAUGAUGGCUCACAUUAAACGACUUCACACUGUCUCUUUUCUUUUUAAUUACUAAUAUUUCUGGUCAGAAGGUGAUUGUAAUUGCAUGAACCAACAUUGCAGUACAUCUCUUCUGUGUUGAAAUUAGUAGCACUUCCAAACAUUUCUGAUUUACAGGAGUAUAAUUUCCAAACAGCGCUAAUUAAUCCGCUAAUUAAUUUCCAAACAUUUCUGAUUUACAGGGUAUUAAAAAACUCUGAGUUUCAGUUUUAGCAGCAAUUCAUUAUAGAGCUGAUCAACAAUAAAAUCUGGUUAAAGUUAGUGAAGCAUGCGAACAACUUGUGAAGACUUAAGUUCGUAAUAGAAUGCAGUUCAGUUUUCGAUUGGGAAUGGACUAUCGGCUCUUGUUUUCUGCAAGUAGAAGCAACGAAAACAGUUCGGGAAUGGAAACAUACACAUCCACCGUUCGUACAAAAGAUAGAAAAGCCUCUAAGUUACGGGAAAGGAAAUAGUUUAUAUAGGACAAAUAUGAUAUACACGAAAUUAUAAUUUCAUUGACCCUUUAUUUUUUCAAAUUCAUAAUAUUAUCUAUUACC
rnacentral:lncRNA from 1 species